GAUAAGGUUAAGUGAAUAAGGGCGCACGGUGGAUGCCUUGGCACUAGGAGCCGAUGAAGGACGGGACUAACACCGAUAUGCUUUGGGGAGCUGUACGUAAGCUAUGAUCCAGAGAUUUCCGAAUGGGGGAACCCAACAUCUUUAAUAGGAUGUU
rnacentral:rRNA from 1 species